GCAGCCUGAUGCAGCAACGCCGCGUGAGGGACGACGGCCAUCGGGUUGUAAACCUCUUUUAGCAGGGAAGAAGCGAAAGUGACGGUACCUGCAGAAAAAGCACCGGCUAACUACGUGCCAGCAGCCGCGGUAAUACGUAGGGUGCAAGCGUUAUCCGGAAUUAUUGGGCGUAAAGAGCUCGUAGGCGGUUUGUCGCGUCUGCUGUGAAAACCCGAGGCUCAACCUCGGGCCUGCAGUGGGUACGGGCAAACUAGAGUGCGGUAGGGGAGAUUGGAAUUCCUGGUGUAGCGGUGGAAUGCGCAGAUAUCAGGAGGAACACCGAUGGCGAAGGCAGAUCUCUGGGCCGUAACUGACGCUGAGGAGCGAAAGCAUGGGGAGCGAACAGGAUUAGAUACCCUGGUAGUCCAUGCCGUAAACGUUGGGAACUAGAUGUGGGGGCCAUUCCACGGCUUCCGUGUCGCAGCUAACGCAUUAAGUUCCCCGCCUGGGGAGUACGGCCGCAAGGCUAAAACUCAAAGGAAUUGACGGGGGCCCGCACAAGCGGCGGAGCAUGCGGAUUAAUUCGAUGCAACGCGAAGAACCUUACCAAGGCUUGACAUAUACGAGAACGCUGCAGAAAUGUAGAACUCUUUGGAC
rnacentral:rRNA from 1 species